rnacentral:rRNA from 1 species
AGUCACUGACAUUAGAUACCCCCUGUAGUCCAGGGUGUAAACGCUGCAGACUUGGUGUUGGGAACCCUUCGGGGGUGCUCAGUGCCGGAGAGAAGUUGUUAAGUCUGCUACUUGGGGAGUACGUCCGCAAGGAUGAAACUUAAAGGAAUUGGCGGGGGAGCACCGCAACGGGAGGAGCGUGCGGUUUAAUUGGAUUCAACGCCGAAAAACUCACCAGCAGCGACUGUUACAUGAAAGUCAGGUUGAUGACCUUACUAGAUUUUCAG